rnacentral:rRNA from 1 species
AAGGAAUAUUGGUCAAUGGACGCAAGUCUGAACCAGCCAUGCCGCGUGAAGGAUGAAGGUCCUCUGGAUUGUAAACUUCUUUUAUCUGGGACGAAAACGGGAUUUUUAUCCCAAUUGACGGUACCAGAGGAAUAAGCACCGGCUAACUCCGUGCCAGCAGCCGCGGUAAUACGGCGGGUGCGAGCGUUAUCCGGAUUUACUGGGUUUAAAGGGUGCGUAGGUGGGCUUAUAAGUCAGUGGUGAAAUCUCCGAGCUUAACUGCAGAAUUGCCAUUGAUACUGUUAGUCUUGAGUACAGUUGAGGUAGGCGGAAUGUGUCAUGUAGCGGUGAAAUGCUUAGAUAUGACACAGAACACCGAUUGCGAAGGCAGCUUGCUAAGCUGUAACUGACGCUGAGGCACGAAAGCGUGGGGAGCAAACA